GAGGAAUAUUGGUCAAUGGGCGCAAGCCUGAACCAGCCAUCCCGCGUGCAGGAAGACGGCCCUAUGGGUUGUAAACUGCUUUUCCAGGGGGAGAAUUUUUCUGUCGUGACAGGAAUUGACGGUACCCUGGGAAUAAGCAUCGGCUAACUCCGUGCCAGCAGCCGCGGUAAUACGGAGGAUGCGAGCGUUAUCCGGAUUUAUUGGGUUUAAAGGGUGCGUAGGCGGAUUGAUAAGUCAGUGGUGAAAACCUGCAGCUUAACUGUAGACUUGCCGCUGAUACUGUCAGCCUUGAGUGUGGUCAAGGUAGGCGGAAUGUGUAAUGUAGCGGUGAAAUGCUUAGAUAUUACACAGAACACCGAUUGCGAAGGCAGCUUACUGGGCCAUUACUGACGCUGAUGCACGAAAGCGUGGGGAUCGAACAG
rnacentral:rRNA from 1 species